ensembl:snRNA U1 U1 spliceosomal RNA
AUACUUACCUGGCAGGGGAAAUUCCAUGAUCACGAAAGUGGUUUUCCCAGGUCGAGGCUUAGCAAUUGCACUCCGGAUGUGCUGACCCCUGCGAUUUCCCCAAAUGUGGGGAACUCGAAUGCAUAAUUUCUGGUAGUGGGGGACUGCAUUCACACACACACACA